AGAAGCAGCCAUCAUUUAAAGAAAGCGUAAUAGCUCACUGGUCGAGUCGGCCUGCGCGGAAGAUGUAACGGGGCUAAACCAUGCACCGAAGCUGCGGCAGCGACACUGUGUGUUGUUGGGUAGGGGAGCGUUCUGUAAGCCUGUGAAGGUGGCCUGUGAGGGUUGCUGGAGGUAUCAGAAGUGCGAAUGCUGACAUAAGUAACGAUAAAGCGGGUGAAAAGCCCGCUCGCCGGAAGACCAAGGGUUCCUGUCCAACGUUAAUCGGGGCAGGGUGAGUCGACCCCUAAGGCGAGGCCGAAAGGCGUAGUCGAUGGGAAACGGGUUAAUAUUCCCGUACUUGGUGUUACUGCGAAGGGGGGACGGAGAAGGCUAUGUUGGCCGGGCGACGGUUGUCCCGGUUUAAGCGUGUAGGUGUGUGUUCCAGGUAAAUCCGGUUCACUUUAACACUGAGGCGUGACGACGAGGCACUACGGUGCUGAAGCAACAAAUGCCCUGCUUCCAGGAAAAGCCUCUAAGCAUCAGGUAACAUCAAAUCGUACCCCAAACCGACACAGGUGGUCA
rnacentral:rRNA from 1 species